rnacentral:lncRNA from 1 species
AGCUCGAGGCAAUAUAUGACAUCAAAAAUUAUUGUAGAAAUGCAAAAAGGUUCAAGCCACCAAGGUGCUAGUUUAUGAAUUUGGAUUGAUGUAGCAAGUGGCAAGUUGACAUUACAGAGUAUUACUUAACAAUCAUCUUCUCAAAAGAUCUUUUGUUGUUGAUGGUUAUCUGCAUACUACUUUUAUCAAUUUUGUGCAAUGUCAUGAUAUAAUACAACUAAUAGAUGAAAAGGGUGAAGAAUCUAUUAUAUUUUUAAAGAUCUUACUUCAAAUAUAGUACCAAAUUAUCUUAGAAAAUAAACAAUAGUCCAAAAGAAA